GAGGCUGGGACUUUGAGACACAGACCCCGAGGGGCAGUUGCCAAGUUGAAGGCAGCCCAGGGCUGCCAGCUUUCACCUCUUUAGUUCUGGGCUUGGCAGUAAUGAGGCGAAGGGCCAGGACUUUUUAACUGGCUAGGUCAAAGUGGUUUCCUGAUUAGACAAACAGUGUGUGUGCGGGGGAGCCAUUGGGUCUCUGCUUGGAACAAGGAAGUUCCAGAAAAGACAGAGCCAGAGGCCUCUCGCCUUCCACACCCAGUCUGCACCUGGAGCCCUGGCCGUUCGCCGCUGUCCCAAGCCCACUGCUGCCAGCUUACCACAGCUUGGAGGGGCACUUGAAGAAGUGUCACAGAGCCUUUCAGAAAGGAAGUGACAAACAGGUGGCCCAGCGGGGACCUGCCCGUACACUGGUUCCCCACUUGCAGUUCCCCCGGAAAGAGACUUUAAGAAAAGGAUUCAAAAGCAAGUUGUUUGUUUGGGGUAUGAUCCAGGCCCAGACAAAGCAAGGGAUGACCCUCCAGAAUACCUCCCCCAGCAAGUUGUGUUCAGAAAUACUCUCUCCCCCUAUCAACACUAAGCUUUGUUACUGAAUGAAACCUGUCUCCCUCUCUUUUCCCUUGGGAUUGUUCCCUGGGAGGCCCCGUGGUCCGUCUUGCUCAGAGACAUGCCAGAUUUGCUUAGACAUGUGUCAGAUUGCCAUGGCCGGUUUAGACCAGUCCUGGGAAACCCCUGCUUCAAACAGAGAAUUUGAAAAUGUGGGAGAAAUAAAUUCCAUAUUCUUCAGAUAAUCUUUCAUAAAUGUCACCUUUGAUGGAUGCUGGAGGGCACAUAGUUCAAGAUUAUGCUCUACAAAAAAAAACAACUGUGUUUCACUGGAAUGCUGAUAAUCUUUGUUGAUGAAUGAGAAUAGAUCCAUGUAUAUUGAAACCAGGUGAGCAGGUAAUGAAAUAAAUUGAUAUUGUG